UCCCAAUGCUUCACUGCUCGGCAUUAUAUAUAUUUUAUUAAUGAAAUUGGAAUUUAAGCCGAAUCUCGUGUCAGUUUCGAAGAGAUUCAGUCCAGAAAAUGUUCCGUUUAAUUGUUCUGAUAAUUUUUUGCCUCUUUACGUUCGGUUUGAAGUUUUUUUAUUCCAGAAAUAACAAAAUUAAGAUUUUUGUCCAUAUUCUGGACGUAUAAUUAAUUCGCAUUUUUACAAUUCAUUUGUAUUUUAUUUCAUGUUUCAGCUUUUUUCUACUUUCAGAAAUGUUCAAAAUCUGUUUUUUUUAUUUGAAAAAACUUGACUCUUCGAUUUGAAUUUGCUUAAAUUCCACAUUUUUCAAACAUUGUAAUCUUCUAUUUUCAGCCCAAUUCCCAUUGUCAACCAUAACUAAUUUCGUUCCAACAAAUUCAAACUCGUAUCAAAAUUGUACUCCUGCUUAUCCAGGGGUAAAAUGCAACCCGUUCCCCACUGUAUCAGAUCUUAGCUUUUCAACACUAGAGCUGUUUUUAAAUGCCCUAAUUGGUACAACAAAUUGUACAAACUAUACAGACUCAGUAAUAUUGGAUGGAACUUAUGUCAACUGUUACAUACCGGACCAAAAUCCGAAAGCUGUGAAUGGUACAACACUUGCAAAAAAUCCAAGUGGUUACAUAGAUACGUCUGCUCCAUGUACGUGGCUCAUUAUACCCGGUUGGAUGACAAAUUGUAAUAAGUCUGUCAAUAGUGUUCUAAAUGACUACAGUAAGAUAUUUAUUGCAAAUGGAUAAAGUGAGUUGAACAAAAAAAAUGGCAUGUAUCCCAGGUUUUCAGACAGACAUGGCUUGGAAUUUGAAUAAACUUGGAAAGUGCAAUGUGUUCAUUUUAAAUUAUGGAAAAUUUGUUUGUGAUAAUUACGUUUGUCUGCUAGCCUUUCUUGUUAAACGAUUGGCCUAUUUGAUAGCAGAAGCAAUUGAUGCAUCAAAUUGUGAUGUGUCCAACUUUAAUGUUUGGGGAAUUUCACUUGGAGCCGAGAUUGCUGGUUGGAUUGCUAGGUAUUUGAAAGCGAAGAAUAAAAUGCUGUCUUUAGUUGCGGUUGCCGACCCGGCUGGUCCAUUCAUGAUAGGUCAAAUGUGUGGGUUAUUUAAAAUAUUUGAAUUUUUCGAAAGUGGAUUGGGCGCAGACAUUGCUUACAAUACGGUAUGUCUUCAUUGCAAUUUAUGCUGCUUGGGAACGGGAAAUACAACUAUCGCCAAAGCUCAUAUUUUCCUCAAUGGAGGCGGACAACAACCAUGGAUACUCCCUGGAAAUGAAUUUGGAAAUCACGCAUCAUGCGCCGCUGUGAGCGCUGGAAUGACCGCGCAAUCAAAAUGUUUAGAUUCGAUAACUGGAGCCAAUUUCAACUAUUUCUUCUGUUCAGUCGCCCCAGGAAUUUAUACGUUCAAUGUGUGUCAAUGCUAUCCGUAUUGCAUGUGCAAGCCAGGCGGUUGUCCAUACAUUCCUUACUAAACUUAAUUCCAAACUAAAAACGAUGUUUUGUGUUUUUGAACUUAUAUGCAUAAGAUUUUCCACGGUAAAGAAAAAUAUAAAAAACUGUACGAGAGUGCUCACCCAGUUUGCUAUAUUUUUUACCAUUGAAAUUUUGAAAUGAACUACUUUUCAACUAUACCAUGAAAUUUACUUUUGAAUCAUCAACAUGGAGUUUCAAUAAUAAAUAAGUUUCGUUCGUCAUUAAUCAACGAUAGUUUAAUCUUCGUCGAAGAUUAUUCGAUGUAAAAAUUUUAAAGAUUCGCAACUAUUCAAUUCGCUAUUCAACAAUUUUUCAAUAAACUUAUUGAACCUAAUGCUGUCUUACGGAAAUGACGUACCAAAUUUUAAUAAGAAGCUAGAAGAAUUGCAGUUUCAAUCGAUCGUUCUAUUUUUGAUGUUGAGUUGAUAGGGUGUGUUGAUUGAAACUUUAUUUCAAAUUGUGAAAUAUGUCAUUACUUUGUAUUGAUGCGUUCGUUUCAUCUUUGAAUGUCUGUGCCGGUAUUUUAUUAUUGUAAACAACAGCACACCCCAUUGACUACGUACAUACUAAGUGUCUACGUCUAUUUGAGUUUGAAAGCUAACGUACUUUGGAGUUUUGCUCUUGAAAAUGAAGCUGUCGAUUAUUUUGCUUACAAUUCUGGCAUUUACUCUUGAACUUGGCCCGGGUUUGUUAUUAUUGGAUUAUUUUUUAAUCACACUCGAGUAUUUAUCUGUUGAACAUCGCAAUGGUGUACAACUACAUGUGGUUAUCAAACAAGUGUUUCAUUAUUGACAUAAAAUUACGAUUAAUUAAACCAAAUUACAAUUUAAUUCUAUAAAGUUAUUCAAUUUACAUCUCAAUAAUACUGAACAGAACUUUUUUGUUGAAAUAUUGAUUUUUUUUUUUCAGGUACAACAACGCCAAAGUCAAAUCAGCAUCAUUUGAUCGAAUCCGAAGAAAGACAAAGAAUGUGUGCCAUUCAGAACCAUUACUAAUUUGGAUAAAAUAACAGCCACAAUUCUGACGAGUACAUUGGUUGAUUCGGUUAAAUGCCAAAAUACUGUUCCGAAAAGCGACGAAAACCUUGUUACCAAUCCAAGAAACCAAGUGCAUUUUCAUAUAGUAGACAAUCGUAACUCACGGCUUACUCAAUCGAUGCUUCAGUGUCAAUCCAUUUAAGUCUUUGUCUCAACCCGAAAUUAAAACAAAUCGCUAUAAAUUUGGUAGGAAAUUCAAACGUUGGAUUUCGUAAGACUAUUGUCGAAAAAAGUACUGAAUAAAACCGUUUAACUCGACGAAUCAAAAUGAAGUUGAUAUUUUUGGUGGUCUCAAUCGUAUUGAUUUUGACGAAUUUCAAACGGCAAACGCAAGCUAUAGUUAGUUACAUGAACGGAACAAUCUUUGAGGCGAAAGAAGGCGAUAUUCUGUAUAUCGCUCUGAUAAAAGUACUUCAUCCGCAUACUGGACGCUUCAUGCCCAUUUGUGCUGGGGCCAUUAUCUCGGAAUACGAUGUAUUAACAAAUGCAGUCUGUGCUACUGCAUGCCAAUCUCCGCCCAAUUGUAAAUUAUACGUUGGACGUGUCAACGUUAGUGCUGAUGGUACUGAAGUUAAAAUUAACAGCACCACCUGGCACCACACUUACUGGGAGAUGGACAUGAUGGACCCUGCAAAUGAUACGCGUUUUAAUAUACUUGAUUUAGGAAUUAUUCAUACUGAACAAAUUGAAAUGUCAGAUACCGUCCAGAUCAUUGCAAUGAAUGUGAACGAUUCCGAUAUUUGUCAUAUCAUUAUUGACGUCCAUGUGACUGUAAUUUCUGGUUGGGGAGCCGAACCAGACGCAGCGUUUCUAGAUGAACCCAAAUACGGAAAAGCCAAUUGUUACUUUGGUCAAUGGGGGCCAUCAUUGUACCAUAUUGUUCAUUCAACCAAGGUACAAAUUGGCUUUAAAUCCCAUGUCAUCGGUAGCAUAAGUGAUAUGGGCGCACCAAUGGUUAGAGCUGAUUCAGAACAACUUAUUGGCGUCGGUAGCUACACGUUGUUCAUUUACGAUAAAUUUGAUGCUGAAGACAACCUACUAAUAUACUUUCCUGUCUUUGAAAAUUUAGCCUGGAUCCAGGCCCACAUGCGGGCUAACAGUGUAGAGUUUUUAUAUGAAAAAUUUAGAAAAUGAUGAAUAUUCACCAAGUAGGGUACCAUAAAACACCAUUAACAUUUGGUCUACAUGUUUAUUACUUUUGUUUUUCUCAAUUGAAAAGAUUGUCAUUUACAGAUUAAUAAAUUAGAAACUAACGUGUUAUUUUCACAGAUUCAAAGAAGAAUAAAAUAGUCCAA